GACGAACGCUGGCGGCGUGCUUAACACAUGCAAGUCGAACGGUGAAGGGACUGGUUUUGCUGGUCCUGGAUGAGUGGCGAACGGUGGAUUAACACGUGAGUAACCUGCCCCCUUCUUCUGGAUAACCGCAUGAAAGUGUGGCUAAUACGGGAUAUUCUGGGUCUGUCGCAUGGUGGGCCUGGGAAAGAUUGCGCCUUUUUUGGUGUUUUUGUUGGGGGAUGGGCUCGCGGCCUAUCAGCGUGUUGGUGGGGUGAGGGCCUACCAAGGCGGUGACGGGUCGGCGGCCUGAGAGGGUGGACGGACACACUGGGACUGAGACACGGCCCAGACUCCUACGGGAGGCAGGAGUGGAGAAUAUUGCACAAUGGGCGAAAGCGUGAUGCAGCGACGCCGCGUGAGGGAUGGAGGCCUUCGGGGUGUGAACCUCUUUCGAGAGAGAAGCAGGCGUGUCUCUUUCUGUGGGUGGGUUGACGGUAGCUGGAUAAGAAGCGCCGGCUAACUACGUG
rnacentral:rRNA from 1 species